rnacentral:rRNA from 1 species
AUACGAAAGGUGCAAGCGUUGUUCGGAUUUACUGGGCGUAAAGAGAUCGUAGGUGGUUUAUUAAGUCGGAUGUGAAAUCCCGGGGCUCAACCUCGGAACUGCAUUCGAUACUGGUAGACUAGAGUUUGGGAGGGGUAAGCGGAAUUCCGUGUGUAGCAGUGAAAUGCGUAGAUAUACGGAGGAACACCUGAGGCGAAGGCGGCUUACUGGACCAAUACUGACACUGAGGAUCGAAAGCGUGGGUAGCAAACAGGAUUAGAAACCCCAGUAGUCC